rnacentral:lncRNA from 1 species
GCAGGGCUCCAGAGAAAGACGAGAAAGGCGAGAGUUCAAGCCUCGAUCGGUGUCCAUUCAGAGUCGGAAUUCCCAUUCAUGAACUGGGUUCCAGUUGGAGGAGAUGGACCAGUGCCAGAUGGACUCCAUUGAUGGCGUGACUUGACUGAUAAGAUUAUUAGGCCAGGAAUUGUGCAGUUCCUGCUCAGCUGUUCCUCGAUUAAUUUGCUUUUAAUGGCGUUCUAAUGCGUUUUAAAUUCGCCCCCCCAAAGACUGCAGUUUGAUUCGCUUUCUCUCUCUCUCUCUCUCUCUCUCUCCAGGCAGAGCCACAUUCUCUCAGUCACUCUUGACGCUUGCCCUGACUUGAUGUGGGGUUCUACAGUUGAGAUUCCACACAUCCAUCCAUCCAGCUAUCCAUCUAUGUGUCUAUCUAUCUAUCUGUCCAUCCAUCCAUCCAUGUAUCUAUCAGUCACGCAAACUCGUGCCUAUAAUUAACAGCCAGAAAUAUUUGGACAAUCAUAAAACAGAAACAGAAACAGAAACACAGACAGACACUGAUGGCGGGACAGAGUGAGAGACGAAAAGAAAGGCAUCUAAAUCAUAG